rnacentral:rRNA from 1 species
CAUCUAAGCAUGAAGCCCCCCUCAAGAUGAGAUUUCCCAACUUCGGUUAUAAGAUCCCUCAAAGAUGAUGAGGUGAAUAGGUUCGAGGUGGAAGCGUGGUGACACGUGGAGCUGACGAAUACUAAUCGAUCGAAGACUUAAUCAAUUU